UGCAGUCGAGCGGUAAGGCCCUUCGGGGUACACGAGCGGCGAACGGGUGAGUAACACGUGAGCAACCUGCCCCCGACUCCGGGAUAAGCGGUGGAAACGCCGUCUAAUACCGGAUACGACACACCGCCUCAUGGCGGUGUGUGGAAAGUUUUUCGGUCGGGGAUGGGCUCGCGGCCUAUCAGCUUGUUGGUGGGGUAACGGCCUACCAAGGCGAUUACGGGUAGCCGGCCUGAGAGGGCGACCGGCCACACUGGGACUGAGACACGGCCCAGACUCCUGCGGGAGGCAGCAGUGGGGAAUAUUGCGCAAUGGGCGAAAGCCUGACGCAGCGACGCCGCGUGGGGGAUGACGGCCUUCGGGUUGUAAACCUCUUUUACCACCAACGCAGGCUCCCAGUUCUCUGGGGGUUGACGGUAGGUGGGGAAUAAGGACCGGCUAACUACGUGCCAGCAGCCGCGGUAAUACGUAGGGUCCGAGCGUUGUCCGGAAUUAUUGGGCGUAAAGAGCUCGUAGGCGGCGUGUCGCGUCUGCUGUGAAAGACCGGGGCUUAACUCCGGUUCUGCAGUGGAUACGGGCAUGCUAGAGGUAGGUAGGGGAGACUGGAAUUCCUGGUGUAGCGGUGAAAUGCGCAGAUAUCAGGAGGAACACCGGUGGCGAAGGCGGGUCUCUGGGCCUUACCUGACGCUGAGGA
rnacentral:rRNA from 1 species